UACAGAGGUCUCAAGCGUUGUUCGGAUUUAUUGGGCGUAAAGGGUGCGUAGGCGGCGAGGUAAGUCUGGUGUGAAAUCCUGGGGCUCAACCCCAGAAUUGCACUGGAUACUGCUUUGCUAGAGGACUGGAGAGGAGAUUGGAAUUCACGGUGUAGCAGUGAAAUUCGUAGAUAUCGGGAGGAACACCAGUGGCGAAGGCGGCGAUCUGGGAAGAUACUGACGCUGAGGUGCGAAAGCGUGGGGAGCAAACAGG
rnacentral:rRNA from 1 species